UACGAAGGGGGCUAGCGUUGUUCGGAAUUACUGGGCGUAAAGCGCGUGUAGGCGGGGCUUUAAGUCAGGGGUGAAAUGCCAAGGCUCAACCUUGGAACUGCCUUUGAUACUGGGGACCUUGAGUCCGGGAGAGGUGAGUGGAAUUGCGAGUGUAGAGGUGAAAUUCGUAGAUAUUCGCAAGAACACCAGUGGCGAAGGCGGCUCACUGGCCCGGAACUGACGCUGAGACGCGAAAGCGUGGGGAGCAAACAGG
rnacentral:rRNA from 1 species